UGAUGGCGCGAGGGAAGG
rnacentral:misc_RNA from 1 species